rnacentral:rRNA from 1 species
AACGGCCGCGGUAUCUUGACCGUGCAAAGGUAGCGUAAUCACCUGUCUUUUAAAUAAAGACCCGUAUGAAUGGCAAAACGAGGGCUUAACUGUCUCCCCCCCCCAGUCAAUGAAAUUGAUUUCCCCGUGCAGAAGCGGGGAUGUUAACAUAAGACGAGAAGACCCUAUGGAGCUUUAGACGCACCGACAGAUCAUGUAAAACCCCCUUGACUAAAAGACAAAACCAACUGGCCCCCGUCGCGAUGUUUUUGGUUGGGGCGACCCCGGAGUACUAAAAAACCCCCGAGCGGAGCGGAGACACCUCAGCUUCAUAUGUAAGAGCUACAGCUCACAGAAUCAGAACCUCUGACCCAAAGAUCCGAUAUUUCGAUCAACGGACCCAGUUACCCUAGGGAUAACAGCGCAAUCCUCUUUAAGAGUCCCUAUCGACAAGAGGGUUUACGACCUCGAUGUUGGAUCAGGACAUCCUAAU